CUGAAGGACUGCAACGUCACAUUAAUUUUAACCAAUGAAAUGUGCUGUUGCAAUAAUGUACUCUUCAAAAAAGAAAAUACAAAAGAACUAAGGUUAAUAAAUAGAACAACUAUAUAGAUACGAAGUUACUAUACAAAUCUAUUCAUUAGUAUUUAUGAACAGAAAGUUAGAAAAGAUGCUCUAAUCAAGAGAAGAAAACGUCAAUGUUACAGUGAAAAGGGCUAGGACUUGGAUGAGUCUGUUCAGAGAAGAAGAACAGCCAAGUUUUAUAUGUAUGUACUUAAAGGGCAACCAAAUAAGAUUUAAAG